CGGAGUGUAGCUCAGCCCGGUAGAGCACUGCUUUCGGGAAGCAGGGGCCGGAGGUUCGAAUCCUCUCACUCCGA
rnacentral:tRNA from 1 species